UCUUAGAUCUGCCCUAUACUGUAUACUGUACACAUCAAUACCACUCAGGUGUAAUUCAUACUGUGCAAUAUUCAUUCUCACUGUGCAAUAUAAUUUUUCCACUUGUACAAUUCUGUUAAUAGUCUGGUAAUAGUCAAUACUGUAUAUAUUGUUCCUAUUUUUAUAUUUCCCUCUAUUUAAAUUGUUCUUUUUUGUUUCACUUUUUGCACCUCUUUUUCUACUGUGUU